UGGGGAAUCUUGCACAAUGGGGGAAACCCUGAUGCAGCGACGCCGCGUGAGCGAUGAAGGUUUUCGAAUCGUAAAGCUCUGUCCUAUGGGAAGAUAAUGACGGUACCAUGGGAGGAAGCCCCGGCUAACUACGUGCCAGCAGCCGCGGUAAUACGUAGGGGGCGAGCGUUGUCCGGAAUUACUGGGCGUAAAGGGUUCGCAGGCGGCAUGGCAAGUCCGAUGUAAAAGGCGAAGGCUCAACCUUCGUAAGCAUCGGAAACUGUCAAGCUUGAGUGAAGGAGAGGCAAGUGGAAUUCCUGGUGUAGCGGUGGAAUGCGUAGAUAUUAGGAGGAAUACCGGUGGCGAAGGCGACUUGCUGGACUUCAACUGACGCUGAGGAACGAAAGCGUGGGUAGCAAACAGG
rnacentral:rRNA from 1 species